AGAGUUUGAUCCUGGCUCAGGAUGAACGCUGGCGGCGUGCCUAAUACAUGCAAGUCGAGCGAGAAUUUUUCAAAUGACACUUCGGUUGAUUUUGGAAAAGGACAGCGGCGGACGGGUGAGUAACGCGUAGGCAACCUGCCCCUGACAGAGGGAUAGCCAUUGGAAACGAUGAUUAAAACCUCAUAAUGCCGAAGAAACACAUGUUUCAUCGGCCAAAGAUUUAUCGGUCAGGGAUGGGCCUGCGUCUGAUUAGCUAGUUGGUGAGGUAACGGCCCACCAAGGUGACGAUCAGUAGCCGACCUGAGAGGGUGAUCGGCCACAUUGGAACUGAGACACGGUCCAAACUUCUACGGAAGGCAGCAGUAGGGAAUCUUGCACAAUGGGCGAAAGCCUGAUGCAGCAACGCCGCGUGAAGGAUGAAGGCCUUCGGGUUGUAAACUUCUGUUCUUAGGGAAGAAGAAAGUGACGGUACCUAAGGAGAAAGCCCCGGCUAACUACGUGCCAGCAGCCGCGGUAAUACGUAGGGGGCAAGCGUUAUCCGGAAUUAUUGGGCGUAAAGAGUGCGUAGGUGGUUAUCUAAGCGUAAGGUUUAAGCGUGCAGCUCAACUGCAUCUCGCCUUGCGAACUGGAUUACUUGAGUGCAGGAGGGGAAAGCGGAAUUCCUAGUGUAGCGGUGAAAUGCGUAGAUAUUAGGAGGAACACCAGUGGCGAAGGCGGCUUUCUGGACUGUAACUGACACUGAGGCACGAAAGCGUGGGGAGCAAACAGGAUUAGAUACCCUGGUAGUCCACGCCGUAAACGAUGAGUACUAGAUGUUGGUCCCGAAGGGAUCAGUGUCGCAGUUAACGCAAUAAGUGCUCCGCCUGGGGAGUACGCUCGCAA
rnacentral:rRNA from 1 species